AUAAUUUUGUCACUGUCUUCUUUUUCUUUUUCUUUUUUUUUUCUUUUCUUCUUCUUCUUUGACCUGAUCGG
rnacentral:ribozyme from 12 species